rnacentral:rRNA from 1 species
GAUGAACGCUAGCGGCAGGCUUAAUACAUGCAAGUCGAGGGAGAUUAUUUUUGUAGUAAUACAAGAAUAUGAAACCGGCAAACGGGUGCGGAACACGUACACAACCUUCCUUUUAGUGGGGCAUAGCCCAGAGAAAUUUGGAUUAAUACCCCGUAACAUAAUGAAAUGGCAUCAUUUUAUUAUAAAAGCUCCGGCGCUUUAAGAUGGGUGUGCGGCUGAUUAGAUAGUUGGUGAGGUAACGGCUCACCAAGUCCAUGAUCAGUAACUGGUGUGAGAGCCCGCCCAGUAACAAGGGCACUGAGACACGGGCCCGACUCCUACGGGAGGCAGCAGUAAGGAAUAUUGGUCAAUGGAGGCAACUCUGAACCAGCCAUGCCGCGUGAAGGAUGAAGGUCCUCUGGAUUGUAAACUUCUUUUGUACGGGAAAAAACCCCCGGUCGUGAACCGGGGUUGAUGGUACCGUAAGAAUAAGCAUCGGCUAACUCCGUGCCAGCAGCCGCCGCCGUAA